GGGAAUGGUAGGGGGGGCGGCACGACACACGGGAGAAGAGGAUGUGGAAUGCUUUCUUCCCUUCGGGGCUCAGGGAAGAUGGGGCCAGUGUGCAGUAAUCACAUCACCAUCAACUUAGAUCAGUUCAGAAUAAUUUGAUAAAGCAUGGCUAUAUUUACAGUGUCACUAAGUAGUUUACUGGAGGCUGAUUAUCCACAGUUACAUUAAUCAGUCUUUCAGAAGUGAGUGCAGUUCGCCUAAAAAUGGCUACUUCAAGGAUAGAAAGAGGAAAUUGUGUCUGAGCAGAAACUUUUCGUUUCUGAAUGCUUGUGUUUACACUAAAUGAUCACAGGUGCUUUUCAAGUAGAGUCCAUCCUGUGAAUUGCAUAUUGUUGCUUCCUCUGCUGUAAAGGUUGGUUGGUAUGGCUGAGGGGAAAUAUUUCUCCAUCUUUCUCCUUUACCCCAGGAAAUGGGCUGUUGAAAUCAGACACCUCUAAGCCCGAGCUGUUUCAUGUAGCCUGUUAUUGUUAGUAUGUGGAAGCUGAAAUUCUCGCAGAGCUGAAAAUACAGCAUGACGUUUUGAGGACUGCUCAUAGUCUACCAAUUUAUUCCAAAUUCCAUUUGUCAUACUUGGAUUAAAAACUGUUAGCCACUUGUCAGACUUCUUAGAUGAAACACUAUUACAGAGCUUUAGAGUGUUUUAAAAGCCAACAGGGAUUUGAACUUUAUUUGUACUUGGUGGCAGACUUUCAUUUUCAGCGUGGAUAUUUGAGAUGACUUAGCAGAUUUAAAUUUUGCAAUACGUGAUGAUUAAAGGAAAAACUGCAAAUGAGGCAGAGCCUUGCUUUCAUGAGGGUACACUUUGGAAUCUCUUGCAGGUUAGCUGAUCUUAGAAUAUGUCAUUUCGUUUAAAUAGUAGCUUGCAAAGAUUAGUUCUGUUGAAUUGGAUUUGGUUUUAGGUGGUUGAAUAGUGGCUUAGCAUCCAGUUUCAGUUAGCAGUUUAGUAAAACUUGUUUUUCUGAGAUCAUUUUCCAAUGCCAAAAGUGGUAUGUUUUAGUUGGCUUUGUUCAGCUACAUGUUCUGAGCGAACUCAGUUUAUGCUUUGAUAGACUUAUUUUCCUGGAGGCCAGGUUGGGGAAUAUCAGAUAAUACAAAUCAAAAAUAUAUUCUUGCCUCUUUUCUAUGUUGCCUAGGUUUUGUUUAUGAGGCUAGGUAAAAUACAGUAUGAACCAACUUGACAUUUCCAUAUAAACAAAACCUAAAAAUGUGGUGUGUAUUUCUUGAGGAUUGCCUCUUAGACAGUAUUAAGGCAUUUUUGAAGUCUUGAAUUUUAGUAUUUGAGAAAGAACAAAACAAAUGGAGACUGUUUGGAGCCUGGGAAGUUAAGCAAGCUGGUAUACUUCCCUUAAAAAAAAAAAAAAUAGGGGGCACCUGGGUGGUCCAGUCAGUUGAACGUCCAACUUCAGCUUAGGACACGAUCUCACAGUUUGUGAGUUUGAGCCCCGUGUUGGGCUCGCUGCUGGCAGCACAGAGCCUGCUCUGGAUUCUCUGUCCCUCUCCUGCUCAUGUUCUCUUGCUCUCCCUCCCUCUCUCCCUCUCUCCCUCUCUCUCUCUCUCUCUCAAAAAUAAAACAUUAAAAAAAAUACAGGAUUGCAUGUUCGUUUGACAUAUGCCUUUUUCUCUGACAGUUGCAAGUGAAGCUGUUGGAUCUUGUUCCAUUAUUUGGAUGAUGCUGAGGAUUUAAUUAACAUUUAUUUUGAUGGUUUUGCUCAACUGCCUUUGUGCACUUAAGACACCAAGUUAAGCAGUAAAAGUUCUAAAAAGUUGGUGAGCUUUAUUGACCUAAUAAGCUCGCUGUUACGGACAAAAAUUAUUCUGAGCAACCUUAGGGCCCAGUGAAUAAAGCAGAUAAUUCCUAUACCCACCCCACCCCACCUUUAUUUAAUCGGCAAUCCCUGCCGGAAUCCCCGAAUCCCUCCGCGGUGGGUUUGGUGUUUUUUUCCCCCCUGCAUACUUUCUGGUAGCAUCGUUUUUGUCUGAUCAUUUUCAAAGAACGAAGCCCGGGGACGAGUCCCUGCGGUGGCUACUCUGGCGGUCUGGAGAUAGAAGAAGCUUUGAAGGGUGCUUGUGGUCUGCUUCUCAGAAUAGUUCCUCAAAUUGUUGCCUUAUCUUUGAAACUUGCCUCAUUAGACCAGAAUCCUGUGAAGUAGAUGACGGUUUCAUCUCUCGUUUACGAACGAGGAAACCGGGGCUCAUGGGGGAAAUCACGUCACCAAGCCCCGGCUACCCCGCAUCUGCUGGGCGCCUUCCCGGACUGCGGCCGUCCUGGGCUGUGAGACGAGCAGGAGAGGAGGAGCAGUCCUCCGAGGACGGAACGUGACCGUGCCCUCCACACGCUGGGGCUGCGGCUUCCUGCUGCGCCCGGGCGGCCUCAGCCCCCCUGCUUUCAGAGCCUCUCCUCGUCCUCCCCUCUCUUUGCCUGGACAGAUGGGGUGGGGGAAGCAGGGAACAAAAUGAAAUGGUGUGAAUACUGCAGCUCCGAGUUAGCUUUCACUGUUGUGCAAUAAAACUUGAGACCGUACCUUUCAUCGGCGUGACGUGUACUGUCCAGUGUGGGUCUGUGCGGAUACCAGUGAUGGCAGGAGUCCGGGGUGCAGGUACGUUAGAGAGCUCAGAUGGUGGGGACCAGUUUAUGCCUUCCUGUUUUCUCCCACACUUUGCAGAUUGCAGAUCUUUGUGCACUUGGAAAUCUUGUCACGUGUUCCCUUAUAAGCUGCUUAGAGGAAGAUGUCUCUCGGGAGGGUCACUCAACUCCUGUGAUCUCAUUUUCUUAGCCUAAGGGCUCCUUGACUGGAAUUUCUCUCCAUUUCGCCGGACUGAGGCUGCAGUGAGAUCCCUGGUUCUCAGUGGGGAGUGAUUUUGCCCUGCAGGGGAUAUCUGGCUGGCAGCACGAGAAGUAUUUUGGCUAGCGUAAGGGAGGAGAGGGUACUGCUGGCAUCUGAUGAGUGGAAGCCGGGGGUGUUGCUGCUAGAUAUCCUACGACGCGCAGAACGAUAACGAAUUAUCCAGCCCUGGAUGUCAGUAGUGCCGAGGUCGAGAAACCCUGGAUUAGAAAACGUAGAACUGAAUAGAAAACACGACAUUUAAAGAAAUAAAAAAGGAAAAAAGCCCAGGGGAUCUUUGCAUGAAUGCCUGACCUGUCUGGGUUACUUCCAAGUGAGUAAAUGCACCAGAGUCGUCCAGGCACCUCUCGGCAGGGACGCACAUUGCCGCCAGAGCCUGGCCUGAUUCAGAGAAGCCGGUCGUUCACAGGCUCUACAACCAAGAUGUUACCCUGUUGCAUAGGUAGCUUGUCAGGCUCUCUCAAGUUUGCAUUGGAAAUGCAGCAUGAAGCAAUGUCUGUUCUGUGGUAAUUCCUUGCCCUUUGUUUAAAGUACAAUUUUUGAGGGGCUCCUGGGUGGCUCAGUUGGCCGAGCAUCCAACUUCGGCUCGGGUCACGAUCUUGUGGUUUGUGGGUUUGAGCCCCUCAUUGGGCUCUGUGCUGACAGUACAUGUCCUUUGUCUCCCUCUCUGCCUCUCCCCUGCUUGCUCUAUCAACAACAACAACAACAAUUUAAAAAAUACGAUCUUUGGAAAGCUCUUUGUAGUCUACUAAAAUACUUUGAAAUAUUUAAAGUCGAAUAAAAUCAUCACUUCUCAGCCUUUUGGCUAAGAUCAAGUGUAGUAUCUGUUCAUAUCAGUUUGAAGUUGAAUAAAAUCAUUUUCAUUGAGAACAACCUUAAAAGAGUCUUGUUUUGAGGGGCAAAAAUCAUAGGUCAUCUUACACACUUAAAGAAUUUUGCAUAAUGCCAUUCAGCAUUUGCCCUUGGGCUUAUGUCUUUCUACAGUUGUGGUCCUGGUGCGCACGCUCUUUUAAUUAGGACUUUAGAGCAUACGUAUUUUCCCGUAUUUGAAUCUUAGCUUUCUUAUCGCUUUGCCUGGCUGCCUGAUCCUUCCAGUGGGUCUGCUUUCUGGGAAGGAGCAUAGGCUUAGGGGCCAGACCUGGGUUUCCGUUUCAGCUCUACUUCUUAUGAGCUGAGGAACACGGGGCAAACACUUAAUCUACCUGGGUCUUACUCUAACAGUUUUGUAAAUGCAGAUAAUAACAUCUACCUUAGAGCUGUGGGCAUGAAGUGAGAAUAUGUAUGUAAAGUGCGUAAUGCAGCACUAAGCAAAUAAUAACAACACAUUAGAUGGUGGCUGUUCUUACAUAAUUAUUGUUGUUGUUGUUUUGCUUUUUCCCCCUUUGGCAAUCCUCGUCUGGAAAAAUUCUUCUGAGCUAAAGCGUAGAGAGACAACUUUUUGGUUUUGCUUUCGUUUUUAAAGCCAGGAUUUAUUUCUAAUUAAAAAUGCUCAAGAGAUUUAAAAGGUCCAAGGGCCCAAAGAUGUCCAGGUCUCAUAGAACAUAGAUGGUAUCUGUUGGUUAAGUGUCCAUUUGAUCCUGGUUAAUUAUUUGGCCCCUUAAUCCUUCUAGUUGGGUGGUGGUGGUUUCCUCUAACACCAACAUCUUUCAUAAAUGGCCCCGGUCCAUGAAUGACAAGAAGAGCGACACC